UCCAGACUAACAGCCUCUUAGAGAAACGUCACUGUAUCAGGUUGUGGGAAAUUCCUGAGCCUUUACAUAUUUUAUGUAUGAUUUGGUGAGUUUAAGUUUCUAUUUGUCUUCAGCGAGGUCAGUGUUGAGCCCUUGUAACAGAAUCCACAGCCGUCAUUCAGGAGCCGAGCCCGUCUCCAGAGUGACCUUCCUCAGCGGACACGCCCCGUCCACCUGUUCCACAGGUGCGCCCGGCAAGAUGGCGGCGGGGCGACCUUCUGCGGCUUUAGGGCGCCGACUUUGCUGAUCUGUCCUUUUGAGCGUGCUCUCGAAGGUUUAAAAGUCUGCAUUAAGCGUUCUUAUACCUAUCUUUCAUUAAGUAAGUUUUUUUAAAGAUAUGGUAUCCCAUAUCAGUCAGUUUCCUUUAACGAAGAAAGACUGUACUUUACCGCCAAACAUGUCCUAUAUAAAGUUAAUAGCUGUGUAAUCUCUCCAUUUCGGGUUUGGGCUAUAAUAACCCUCUCCGCUCCGAAAUGAUAAAAUAUUGUAAAGAUUAAAUUUCCUAGUUCGUACGGUUUUUUUUUAUUUCUCCAGGUGACAAAAGUAUUUUAAGAAUGGGCCUCCAUUUAUGAAGAAGUUAUUUUUUCCGGGUUCAGCGGCUCUAUCCUCAGAGCUCAACCGAUCUCCUUUCCAGCAACGCGUCGUGCGAUGACAAGCUAUUCUUGACAAGGUGCUUUUCUUUCAAUUUCGGUUUCGACACCAUUGGCUUGAUCUGUAAUGUACCGAUGCAGUGAUGUAUCUUGCCCUUUAUUGCAGUAAAGUUCUGAACGUGCAUGGUUCGUGGUGACCGCUGCUAUGUGCUGUGCAUUCUGCAAUAAAAAUUGUUG